rnacentral:rRNA from 1 species
GAUGAACGCUGGCGGCGUGCUUAACACAUGCAAGUCGAACGGAAAGGCCCUGCUUUUGUGCGGUUCUCGAGUGGCGAACGGGUGAGUAACACGUGAGUAACCUGCCCUUGACUUUGUGAUAACUUCAGGAAACUGCGGCUAAUACCGCAUAGGAUCUACUGCUCCAUGGGGGGGAUUGGAAAGUUUCGGCGUUGGGGGCUGGACUCGCGGCUUAUGCGCUUGUUGGUGGGGUAGUGGCGUACCAAGGCUUUGACGGGUAGCCUGCCUGAGAGGGUGACCGGCGACAUUGGGACUGCGAGACGGCGCAGACGCCUACGGGAGGCAACAGUGGGAAAUAUUGCAGAAUGAGCGGACGCCUGAUGCAGCAACACUGGGUGCGGGAUGAACGGCUACGGGGUAUGAACCGCUGUCGCAUGUGCCGAAGCGUGAGUGACGGUAAUGAAUAAAGAAGCACCGGCUAACUACGUG